rnacentral:rRNA from 1 species
AUGGUGGGCGCAUGGGUCGGGUCUUCGGGCUUUCGAGGCUAUCCAAGUCAGCUGGACGACUGGAAACCCACCCAGCCUUUUGCAGUUUUGCUAUGCCUGGCUCCUCCUAUGUCGCUGCUGCGCCGAAACAGAUCCAGAGAGAGCCAUGUUGCCUUGCCUCUAACCUAUUGGGAGAGGCCGAACAUCUGGUACGGCGGCAAGGGUGGAAAUAAGACGGCACAUAAUUGGGAAACAAAAUUGAGACCAUUCGUUGAGCAGUGGAGAACAGCAAGCUUGGUUCACUGGCACGAGGAGGCGCUCUUCGACCGAGCUGCGCAUGAGGCUCACCUACGGUGGUACCGGCCACAGAUGAGAUUGCGCUGCAUACCAAGAGCUGACCCUGAGGACAUGGAGACGGCUCACACUUCGGCUUCGGAGACGUACUAGAGUUCUUCAGUGACCAGCGUCAUAGAUCACUCGGCCCAGUUGAUGCUGGAGGCUCAAGAGGAGACUGCCGUGAUAAUUAACCGAGUGACCAUGGGGAUCGAAAUGACUCCGUCCGAGAAUCUAGCAGCGUGGCAGCGUACUUAGAGCAAGCUGCGGAGGAUCUUCGAGACUUUGAGGCAUAGGGUGCAUCUGACACCCUGUCUAGUCGGGAAGCACACACUCCCCCAUGCCCCUCACACCGUGCUAGGCCGAUGUUCCAGCCAACGGUCCGCCUGCUGCCUCCACCUUCCCCUAUGCAGUCCGGUGGCUCCUCCUGGUACCACCAGCCUCACCCCCCUCCUGCUCAACUCUCAGUGAUGGUGACAACAGAUACUCCACCACCGCCGGCCUCACAGGUCACCCUGGCCAUGCCACCUCCGGCGCAAUCCCAUACCCGCAAGAGACAUCGCCAUCCUACUCGUAGUCGUAGAAGUGCUGCGCAGGGUUGUGGACAGCGAGGACAGGAGGACGAAACAGGUGCUUAGGACGAACAGACGGUUAGUGGUGUCCCACUAUGUGAUUUGACUUUCUUGACUUCAUUAUAUCCAUAUAUGUAGCACUAUUCAACUUUGUGGUAAAAAGCACAUAUUCCUUUUAAUAAAACUAUAAAGACACAUAUUCAACUCUGCAGACAUUAUAGUAGCAUGAUGCAUCCUUAGGCAGACUCCUUUGAGAAACAAUACAAUACUUCAAAUAAACAGCAGAGCGAUUCCUUUCGGAUUUUUCUCUGAUAAAUGGCAAAUAUUAUUACAUUACCAGAAGUUCAAGAGAGAAAUGAAAAAUAUCUUCAAAACAAUUAACUUUGUUUAAACACACAAGGCAUACUGCGGAUAUGCAGUGCCUUCAGCUCAUUCAGUUUGUUCACUCUAG